rnacentral:rRNA from 1 species
CCCGGGACUUAAGCAUAUCAAUAAGCGGAGGAAAAGAAACCAACAGGGAUUGCCCCCAGUAACGGCGAGUGAAGCGGCAACAGCUCAAAUUUGAAAUCUGGUCCCCAGGGCCCGAGUUGUAAUUUGCAGAGGAUGCUUUUGGCGAGGCGCCUUCCGAGUUCCCUGGAACGGGACGCCAUAGAGGGUGAGAGCCCCGUCUGGUUGGAUGCCGAGCCUCUGUAAAGCUCCUUCGACGAGUCGAGUAGUUUGGGAAUGCUGCUCUAAAUGGGAGGUAUAUGUCUUCUAAAGCUAAAUACCGGCCAGAGACCGAUAGCGCACAAGUAGAGUGAUCGAAAGAUGAAAAGCACUUUGAAAAGAGGGUUAAAUAGUACGUGAAAUUGUUGAAAGGGAAGCGCUUAUGACCAGACUUGGGCCCGGUGAAUCAUCCAGCGUUCUCGCUGGUGCACUUUGCCGGGCUCAGGCCAGCAUCAGUUUGCCCCGGGGGAUAAAGGCUUUGGGAAUGUGGCUCCCUCGGGAGUGUUAUAGCCCAUUGCACAAUACCCUGGGGCGGACUGAGGUUCGCGCAUCUGCAAGGAUGCUGGCGUAAUGGUCAUCAGCGACCCGUCUUGAAACACGGACCAAGGAGUCGUCUUCGUAUGCGAGUGUUCGGGUGUCAAACCCCUACGCGUAAUGAAAGUGAACGCAGGUGAGAGCUUCGGCGCAUCAUCGACCGAUCCUGAUGUUCUCGGAUGGAUUUGAGUAAGAGCAUACGGGGCCGGACCCGAAAGAAGGUGAACUAUGCCUGUAUAGGGUGAAGCCAGAGGAAACUCUGGUGGAGGCUCGCAGCGGUUCUGACGUGCAAAUCGAUCGUCAAAUAUGGGCAUGGGGGCGAAAGACUAAUCGAA